rnacentral:rRNA from 1 species
UGGGGAAUAUUGCACAAUGGGCGCAAGCCUGAUGCAGCCAUGCCGCGUGUAUGAAGAAGGCCUUCGGGUUGUAAAGUACUUUCAGCGGGGAGGAAGGUGUUGUGGUUAAUAACCACAGCAAUUGACGUUACCCGCAGAAGAAGCACCGGCUAACUCCGUGCCAGCAGCCGCGGUAAUACGGAGGGUGCAAGCGUUAAUCGGAAUUACUGGGCGUAAAGCGCACGCAGGCGGUCUGUCAAGUCGGAUGUGAAAUCCCCGGGCUCAACCUGGGAACUGCAUCCGAAACUGGCAGGCUUGAGUCUUGUAGAGGGGGGUAGAAUUCCAGGUGUAGCGGUGAAAUGCGUAGAGAUCUGGAGGAAUACCGGUGGCGAAGGCGGCCCCCUGGACAAAGACUGACGCUCAGGUGCGAAAGCUUGGGGAGCAAACA